rnacentral:rRNA from 1 species
UACGAAGGUCCCAAGCGUUAUCCGGAUUUAUUGGGUUUAAAGGGUGCGUAGGCGGGUUAUUAAGUCAGUGGUGAAAGCCUUCAGCUUAACUGAAGAAUUGCCAUUGAUACUGAUGAUCUUGAGUAUGAUUGAGGUGGGCGGAAUGUGUCAUGUAGCGGUGGAAUGCUUAGAUAUGACACAGAACACCGAUUGCGAAGGCAGCUCACUAAGUCAUAACUGACGCUGAUGCACGAAAGCGUGGGGAGCAAACAGG